GUCUACGGCGCUGCCACCCUGAACAAGCCCGAUCCCGUCUGAUCUCGGAAGCUAAGCAGGGUCAGGCCUGGUUAGUACUUGGAGGGGAGACCACCUAGGAAGACAAGGUGCUGUAGGCA
rnacentral:rRNA from 1 species